rnacentral:piRNA from 1 species
UGUAUGAUAUAGGCAUUCAACACAGAAAC